GAAAGUAAGCAAGGGCAGACGGUGGAUGCCUUGGCUCUCGGAGGCGAUGAAGGACGUGAUAAGCUGCGAUAAGCUUGGGGUAGGUGCAAAUAACCUUUGAUUCCAAGAUUUCCGAAUGGGGCAACCCGGCUGGUGGAAGGCCAGUCAUUCCGUAAGGAAGGCGAACGUGGGGAACUGAAACAUCUAAGUACCCAUAGGAGAAGAAAACAAAAGUGAUUCCGCAAGUAGUGGCGAGCGAACGCGGAACAGCCCAAACCGAUGAUGUUUAGGCAUUGUCGGGGUAGUAGGACCACGUUGUGGCAAGAGAUUAAUGAAGUAGAACGUUUUGGAACAAACGGCCGUAGACGGUGAAAGCCCGGUAUACGACUCUUUAACGAAGCCUAGUGGAAUCCUGAGUAGCGCGGAGCACGAGAAAUUCUGUGUGAAUCAGCGGGGCCCAUCCCGUAAGGCUAAAUACUCCCGAGAGACCGAUAGCGAACCAGUACUGUGAAGGAAAGGUGAAAAGCACCUCGAACAGAGGAGUGAAAUAGUCCCUGAAACCGUCUGCCUACAAGCGGUCGGAGCACAUUAAAGUGUGACGGCGUGCCUUUUGCAUAAUGAACCUACGAGUUACUUUCUCCGGCAAGGUUAAGGGCUUCAGGCCCGGAGCCGAAGCGAAAGCGAGUCUUAAUAGGGCGUGAUAGUCGGAGUGAGUAGACGCGAAACCAAGUGAUCUACCCUUGGUCAGGAUGAAGGUUGGGUAACACCAACUGGAGGUCCGAAUGGGUAUACGUUGAAAAGUGUUCCAAUGAACUGAGGGUAGGGGUGAAAGGCUAAUCAAACUUGGAGAUAGCUCGUACUCCCCGAAAUGCAUUUAGGUGCAGCCUUUAUUUAGUAUAGCAUGAGGUAGAGCGACUGAUUGGAUGCGAGGGCUUCACCGCCUAUCAAGUCCAGAUAAACUCCGAAUGCGUGCUAUAUAUUGAUAAGGAGUGAGGGCGCGGGUGCUAAGGUCCGCGUCCGAGAGGAGAAGAAUCCAGACCAUCAGCUAAGGUCCCCAAAUAACAGUUAAGUUGAACUAACGAAGUCGGACUGCAGAGACAGCUAGGAUGUUGGCUUGGAAGCAGCCAUUCAUUUAAAGAGUGCGUAACAGCUCACUAGUCGAGGAGUCCGGCGUGGAUAAUACUCGGGCAUAAACUGUUUACCGAAGCUAUGGAUGUAGAAAUACAUGGUAGGGGAGCAUUCCAACGGCGUCGAAGGUGAAGGAUGACCUUUGCUGGAGCUUUUGGAAACGCAAAUGUAGGUAUAAGUAACGAUAAAGGAGGUGAGAAACCUCCUCGCCGAAAGACUAAGGUUUCCUGAUCAACGUUAAUCGGAUCAGGGUAAGUCGGGACCUAAGGUUAAGCCGAACGGCGAUACCGAUGGAAGAAUGGUUUAAUAUUCCCAUACUACUUUAUGGAGCGAUGUGGAGACGGAGAAGUGAAAGUCCUGCCAUCUGACGGAAUAGGUGGUUGAAGAGUGUAGAUGUAGAUUCCUGUAGGCAAAUCCGCAGGGAGAGUCGACCUUGACAGUAUGCCGCGUGCUUGCACAAGGCAAAAUGGACGUAAUCAGGCUCCCAAGAAAAUCCGCUAAGCAUAUUCAUAAAGUACCCGUACCGUAAACGGACACACGUAGUUGGGUUGAAAAUACUGAGGCGCUCGAGUGAUUCACGGUUAAGGAACUAGGCAAAUUGACCCUGUAACUUCGGGAUAAAGGGUCCCUACUGAGAGGUAGGGCGCAGAGAAUAGGUCCAGGCAACUGUUUAACAAAAACACAUGGCUGUGCGAAAUAGAAAUAUGAAGUAUACAGCCUGACACCUGCCCGGUGCUGGAAGGUUAAGAGGAGAGCUCAUCGCAAGAGAAGGCUUGAAUUGAAGCCCCAGUAAACGGCGGCCGUAACUAUAACGGUCCUAAGGUAGCGAAAUUCCUUGUCGGGUAAGUUC
rnacentral:rRNA from 1 species